rnacentral:rRNA from 1 species
UACGUAGGGUGCAAGCGUUUAUCCGGAAUUAUUGGGCGUAAAGAGCUCGUAGGCGGUUUGUCGCGUCUGCUGUGAAAACUGGGGGCUCAACCCCCAGCCUGCAGUGGGUACGGGCAGACUAGAGUGCGGUAGGGGAGAUUGGAAUUCCUGGUGUAGCGGUGGAAUGCGCAGAUAUCAGGAGGAACACCGAUGGCGGAAGGCAGAUCUCUG